GGAAGCUGCAGAAAAAAAGAAAUGCAAAUAUAAGCAGGGCUGCUUACACACGAUGGAAUAUCACUGUCUUAUAAACCCCUGGGGUAAUUUGACCGUAGAAGUAUGUGCACCUGUAGCUAAAAUUCUUCCAGGUCAUUGUGCUGAAUACAAUUACGACGGAGGAAAAGUGCAAGAACAUUACAAAAACUAUUGUGGAGAAUGCACUGAAACAUACAUGUCGAAUAAAGCUUAUAAAUAUCAAUCUUGCUACAGAAAAGCG